GAUGAACGCUGGCGGCGUGCUUAACACAUGCAAGUCGAACGGAAAGGCUCCUGCUUGCAGGGGUACUCGAGUGGCGAACGGGUGAGUAACACGUGGGUGAUCUGCCCUGCACUUCGGGAUAAGCCUGGGAAACUGGGUCUAAUACCGGAUAGGACGAUGGUUUGGAUGCCAUUGUGGAAAGUUUUUUCGGUGUGGGAUGAGCUCGCGGCCUAUCAGCUUGUUGGUGGGGUAAUGGCCUACCAAGGCGUCGACGGGUAGCCGGCCUGAGAGGGUGUACGGCCACAUUGGGACUGAGCUACGGCCCAGACUCCUACGGGAGGCAGCAGUGGGGAAUAUUGCACAAUGGGCGCAAGCCUGAUGCAGCGACGCCGCGUGGGGGAUGACGGCCUUCGGGUUGUAAACUCCUUUCGCUAGGGACGAAGCGCAAGUGACGGUACCUGGAGAAGAAGCCCCGGCUAACUACGUG
rnacentral:rRNA from 1 species